GUGAAAGCACACAAAGAAGAUGAAUUCAUGGAAAGAUCCCCAGGAAAUGCUGCGGUGUGCUCCAAUGAAAAGGAAGGGGGGCCUUUUUCCUCAAAGGACAUCUGCUGCGGCGGGUUGCUUCUGGUCUCACAAUUAGUGAAAGUUCCCCCUGCAAUUGAAUUCAGCGGCAUAAAUUUUCCUCUGAGGACUGCUUUCAUUGCAUCCCAUGGAUUCUGUGCUGGAAAUUGAACUCAGGACCUUGUGAUUGCCACGUAAGCACUGUGCUGCUGAGCUGUAUCACCAGCCCUAAAAUCUGAUUGUUUAAUCAUUAAGAUUCUAUGUACAAUCAGUCUUUCGAAGCACUUUAAACACUUGGUUUUCACAAGAGGAAAUUAACAUUUUUAAGGAAAAUAUUUCACAGAGUCCAGUAAAGCAUUUGGUUAUGCUUUAUCCUCAAGGAACGGAAAACUUUAUUUAUUUAAAGUCACUGUUACAUUUC